rnacentral:rRNA from 1 species
GGGUGAAAUCGAAGACCGGAAGAAGAGAGCGGGAGGAAGGUGGAAGGGGAGGGGGCUCUGGCCGCGGCGGGCUAGAGGGCUAGACGAGGACGGGCGGGGGCGCGCGAGGCCGGGCGGCUCCUAGGCGCGCCCCGCGAGGGCUAAACGCCGCGCCCGCCACACAAGGACCUAGUCCACCCGCACCCCCGCGCGCCCUAAGCGCCGGGUACCGGUUGGGGCUGCUGCCGCCGCCCGCGUUCAAGACCGCGAGGCGCAGCACCAGCCGCGGGGCUCGGCGGCUCCGCCCCGGCCUCCGCCGCGGCGAGGGCGGGGCCUACCCCGGGGGCGGCGAGUGGGGCGCCAGCUUUCCGGCCCGGACGGAGGGCGGCGACGUCGGCGAGCGGUAGUGGGCGGCGUCGGACCUGCUCACCGGGUUCCGCCCGAGGCUGCUGCACCCGCUCACCGGGUUGGGGUGGUGGGGCCCGCGGAGGUUCCGCCCGCCGCCGCCGCCGCCGGGCCCGAGGCGGUUCGGGCCGCUCCCGGAGGCCGAGCUGGAGAGGUGGGAGGCGAGCGUCCCGGCGUUCCUGGUCUAGCGGAAGAAGCUGUUCCUCACGAGGUUCCACCGGCUCGUGCAGAUGGAACCGCCGCUGCGGCAACGGUUCUUGGCGCUGUAGGACGCGUUCUUGCCGUAGUGGGUGCAGGAGUUGACGCAGCCGAAGCAGACGGGCCUCAUGAAGUUCAGCCUGGAGCAGAUGGCGUGCGAGACCGACGUCCUGUCGGGGUGGCUCCUGUAGUGGUCGUAGGAGAUACUGCACAAACUAAUGAAGCUCCUGCACUCCCUCGUCCGACCCGCGCACAAGCACGUAACGACGGUCCCCCACAGCGCGAGCUGUAGCGACCACUAUCGCAUAAACUACACCUCCCUUCCCGUCUCGAAGCUACUGCGUAAGGUCAAACACUUCCGACGGUCCCCCUAGCGCUUAGGCUUGUACCCCAAACGGACGGUCGACGAAGUCACGGUCUUCGCCCACGUACGGUAAGGAGACAGGGGUUUGAGUCACGAGUCCUACAUAGCCAACCGUGGAGUGAGGGGUAUGCGAGGUGACGUAGAUCACGGGUUUUACGACUUACUCGGGAGCGGACGGCGGGAGCUGAGAUCCCCACGUAAGUAUCAAGUACACGAGAGCAGCUAAAUACAAACCCAACCUUAGUUUACACUAUGUCAUUACCUCUUCCUACGCUCUCGCCGUCGAAAAGUCCACCACUCCAUACUCUUCCACGUCCCCGUCUAGUUUCAACAGUCUCUUCCCAACCUCGUUGGACUUAAAACCCUGCGGAAAAGGUCACGUGGAUAAUUAAGUCUGUCGUUUUACUUCGAACCGUUCCUCGUCUAGCUAAGCGGUAGGUCCUGACCGCACCCUUCGGCCUCUCACCUUAGAAUACUAAGACUAAAACUCGAGCAGGUCUUUCGCUAUCGACCCCCACAACAAGGUCGUAAGAGCAGAAGACCAUGACUUCUACUCUGGGUAGAAGGUCGCUCUCUUUCAUCGACCUCAAAUGAUUCCGCGUUCAAAUAGAGCUCUAGUGAUAGAGCUCAAAUAAGUCUAAGACGAGACUAUUCCCUAAACCUAGGUGCCCACGUCGUGAACUGACGUCUCCGUAGUUAUAGUGGCGGAAAGGAAAGAGGCUCGAGAAAUAGUAGUCUAAGUUGGUAAUCAAGUUUCAUGUCAAGUCUGAGUGGGAGGGACAGUGGAAGUUGAUCGAGGGGUGGCAGUGAACCAGAAAGUGGACGAAGUAGAUUAAACGGUGUGCGAAACCACGGUAGUAGAUCCAGAGGAGAAGCGGUCAGUAGAUUACGCCUUGUAAGCUUCGGGUAGGACCCUAGUUAUGCGAGAGGCAGGUUCCAGAGUAGAUAUCGUCUUUCUUCUCCUCCUAAAAGUACAGACUUCGACGGUAGUGAGGGUUUCCUCGAUCAUAACGGUGGUUCCCGUGGUAGAUAAGUGUUUCGUCUCCUUCGGUGCCUAUUCUCAUUAUGGUUACCACACUUUGUCGAAUGACCACAAAGAACGGGUCUCUUUACGUGGCCUUGAUCAAGUUGUCGUUGACUGUCGUUGAGUCUCCGAUGACAGGUGCCACUCUGGUAUAAUUAACUCGUAUGAUUGAGUCUCCGGACAUUAAUACAAGUUGAUGAUCAGAUGGCUACCGGGACGUACCUCUUCGACUGACGUAAGCGAGCGUUCCUAGAACUGGGUUUUUGUCAAAAAUAAAAACAACGAGGAUUACGGUCGUCUUCACGUCUUCGUCAAUUUUACCAUACGCAUACCCAUCCUCCACUUAUACUCACAUCAUUUCCACAACUUUCAUAACUAACCGUCGUUCAACGACCACUAAAAGAAUUAGUCUUCCCCAAGUCGUUAUGAGAAGGACAAUUCCAAAAGUUCCUCGUACUUUGGCUCUUAGAAAACCUCCACGACCUACGAGCAAUUGUCAUCCAGUCCCAUAAGAUGAUCGAAUUGUUUGUCGGCGUUUGAUAGUUAAGUUACUUCCGUAAAGGAGGUCGUAGCGAGGUACAUCACCGCUGACAGUCCGCUCCAUAUUCGGCACUGUUGGCAAGGGAGGACUUGUAUAUCCGAUGUCUAAGGUAAAAUCAUCUUGUCUACCUAACCGUUAAACACGGAAAAAAAAAGUCUGAACAAACACAGUUUUACCGUCCUCCGACGGUCUCGCAACAUAGACACACUUAAUUGUGUGUCUCUAAGCCAAAACCGCGUUGGCCCACAUAUAAUAGACGAAGUGACAUUACAUUCGGGUAUCCGGCCCUCUAGCUACCACAGCAAAAAUGGGGGACUUUUAGUACAUGUAGAGUCCCAUCUUGUCUAAACAUUAGGAGAACCGGAUGUCCACAGAGACGACCAGAAUUGAAAAUUGGAACUUGGGCCGAUAAACGACAGGACGCGUACAGCAUAAUCGUUACAUGAAGGUCUGAGACCAGUAUAAGUAUGAACGAUAGAGUAUGUUUCAAGGGACAAAGGUUCUUUAACG